rnacentral:rRNA from 1 species
AGAUUGAACGCUAGCGGGAUGCUUUACACAUGCAAGUCGAACGGCAGCGCGGACUUCGGUCUGGCGGCGAGUGGCGAACGGGUGAGUAAUAUAUCGGAACGUGCCCAGUCGUGGGGGGAUAACGCAGCGAAAGCUGUGCUAAUACCGCAUACGAUCUCUGGAUGAAAGCGGGGGACUCGCAAGGGCCUCGCGCGAUUGGAGCGGCCGAUAUCAGAUUAGCUAGUUGGUGGGGUAAAAGCCCACCAAGGCGACGAUCUGUAGCUGGUCUGAGAGGACGACCAGCCACACUGGAACUGAGACACGGUCCAGACUCCUACGGGAGGCAGCAGUGGGGAAUUUGGACAAUGGGCGAAAGCCUGAUCCAGCAAUGCCGCGUGCAGGAUGAAGGCCUU